rnacentral:rRNA from 1 species
GACGAACCGUGCGAACGUUGUUCGGAAUCACUGGGCUUAAAGGGCGCGUAGGCGGCUUCGCAAGUCCGGGGUGAAAGCCCCCAGCUCAACUGGGGAAGUGCCUCGGAUACUGCGGGGCUCGAGGGAGGUAGGGGUGCGUGGAACUUCCGGUGGAGCGGUGAAAUGCGUUGAUAUCGGAAGGAACGCCGGUGGCGAAAGCGACGCACUGGACCUCUUCUGACGCUGAGGCGCGAAAGCCAGGGGAGCAAACGGG